AGUUACCCGGGCACCGCGUUA
rnacentral:misc_RNA from 1 species